UACGUAGGGGGCAAGCGUUAUCCGGAUUUACUGGGUGUAAAGGGAGCGUAGACGGCGAUGCAAGUCUGAAGUGAAAGGCGGGGGCCCAACCCCCGGACUGCUUUGGAAACUGUAUGGCUGGAGUGCAGGAGGGGUAAGUGGAAUUCCUAGUGUAGCGGUGAAAUGCGUAGAUAUUAGGAGGAACACCAGUGGCGAAGGCGGCUUACUGGACUGUAACUGACGUUGAGGCUCGAAAGCGUGGGGAGCAAACAGG
rnacentral:rRNA from 1 species